rnacentral:rRNA from 1 species
AGUGAACGCUGGCGGUAGGCCUAACACAUGCAAGUCGAACGGCAGCACAGUAAGAGCUUGCUCUUACGGGUGGCGAGUGGCGGACGGGUGAGGCAUAGAUCGGAAUCUACUUUUUCGUGGGGGAUAACGUAGGGAAACUUACGCUAAUACCUCAUACGACCUACGGGUUGAGGCAGGGGAUCUUCGGACCUUGCGCGAUUGAAUUAGCUGAUGGCGGAUUAGCUAGUUGGCGGGGUAAAGGCCCACCAAGGCGACGAUCCGUAGCUGGUCUGAGAGGAUGAUCAGCCACACUGGAACUGAGACACGGUCCAGACUCCUACGGGAGGCAGCAGUGGGGAAUAUUGGACAAUGGGCGCAAGCCUGAUCCAGCCAUACCGCGUGGGUGAAGAAGGCCUUCGGGUUGUAAAGCCCUUUUGUUGGGAAAGAAAAGCAGCAGGUUAAUCCCCCGCUGUUCUGACGGUACCCAAAGAAUAAGCACCGGCUAACUUCGUG